rnacentral:rRNA from 1 species
CAGUCGCCGCGGGAAUACGAAGGGGGCUAGCGUUGUUCGGAUUUACUGGGCGUAAAGCGCACGUAGGCGGACUUUUAAGUCAGGGGUGAAAUACCGGGGCUCAACCCCGGAACUGCCUUUGAUACUGGAAGUCUUGAGUAUGGUAGAGGUGAGUGGAAUUCCGAGUGUAGAGGUGAAAUUCGUAGAUAUUCGGAGGAACACCAGUGGCGAAGGCGGCUCACUGGACCAUUACUGACGCUGAGGUGCGAAAGCGUGGGGAGCAAACAGGAUUAGAUACCCGCGUAGUCCCUGUCUCUUAUAC